rnacentral:tRNA from 1 species
GGUGGCUCAGUGGUUGAGUACUUGCCUUGCAUGCAUGAGGCCCUGGGUUCGAUUCCCCAGCACCA